rnacentral:rRNA from 1 species
AUUGAACGCUGGCGGCAGGCCUAACACAUGCAAGUCGAGCGUGCGGCGGACAGGUGAGUAAUCUCUGGGAAACUGCCUGAUGGAGGGGGAUAACUACUGGAAACGGUAGCUAAUACCGCAUACCAUCAGAUGUGCCCAGAGGGGAUUAGCGAGUAGGUGGGGUAACGGCCGACCAGGGCGACGAUCCCUAGCUGGUCUGAGAGGAUGAGCAGCCACACUGGAACUGAGACACGGUCCAGACUCCUAGGGGAGGCAGCAGUGGGGAAUAUUGCACAAUGGGCGCAAUCCUGAUGCAGCCAUGCCGCGUGUGUGAAGAAGGCCUUCGGGUUGUAAAGCACUUUCAGCGGGGAGGCGUUACCCGCAGAAGAAGCACCGGCUAACUCCGUGCCAGCCGCCGCGGUAAUAC